rnacentral:lncRNA from 10 species
GGCCAUUCUAACAACACCUCCCCAGCAUGGCACCCCGCCUCUCCACUGCCCCCAGAUCCCAACUCCCACCCUGGAAACGUGGAACAAUGGGAAACUUCACCCCCUUCCUUGGGGCACAACUGAGGCUAAGGUAGAGAAGGCGACCCGUGACUUCCUGGAAGGCCGGGAAGCAGAGAGCCCAGCUGACCCUCACUGCCCUUCCACGAGUCCCAGCACUGUCCCUGGCCCAUUCUUCAUCACUGCCGCCUCUCAGUGGGAAAGCCAGCCAAAUUCUGUGCCAAGCCAGGAAGCCAGUCCUGGGGACAGGGUGGGCGAGCUAACAGGUGUCCCAGAGCUGGGGAAGGGCUGCCCCACUUGUCCCGAGGAGAGGACGCCAAGGGCCCGAGCCCGGAUGUGGCAGGGAAGGAGGCUCACAGCACCCACUUCACAGAUGAGAAAACUGAGGCUGCCAAUGGCCCCCGCCCAUUUUGGCUGCCUUGUGAUCAUGUUGGCUCUGGGGACCCGCUGGCGGGGCCUCCCACCACAGUGAGGAGCCACGAGGGUCCCCUAGUUGGAUGCUCAGGUCACACUGCCCUCGGACUUUCUGCACAAAAUGCUCAGGCCCCUCCUCACCUCCAGGCCUCGGGACCAGUCACACAAGAAGUACUCUCCGGGUUUGUUUGUUUGUUUUUAUAAGAGGAAAAAAAUGCCCAACAGAAAACUGACAAAGUAAAUGAACAGGAAAUUCACCAAAAACAAAAAAACGUAAAUACUGUAUACAGAUGGACCAUAGCAAAACUGUGUGAAAGGUGGUCCCGGACAGGCGGGGUGGCUCACGUCUAUAAUCCCAGCACUUUGGGAGGCCAAGGCGGGUGGAUCACAUGAGGUCAGGAGUUUGAGACCAGCCUGACUACCAUGGUGAAACCCCUUCUCUACUAAAAAUACAGAAUUAGCCGGGCAUGGUGGCGCAUGCCUGUAAUACCAGCUCCUCGGGAGGCUGAGGCAGGAGAAUAGCUUGAACCCAGGAGGCAGAGGUUGCAGUGAGAUGAGAUUGCGCCACUGCAUUCCAGCCUGGUGACAAAAGUAAAACUAUCUCAAAAAAAAAAAAAAAAGUGGUCUCAAUGUCCUAGUCCUUAAAGAUAGGGAAAGAAGAGACAGAGCUCUUCACCAUGAGGUUGGUAAAAUUGCCUCCCGAUGGUGAUGGGGAAAAUGGACACAGGUUUUUCGCUUGCCCUGCUGGCAGGGAGGGGCAGUCUGGGCAUUGAUACUAAAAACAGGCUUAUCCUUAUGCACAAUUUUAAAUCCAUUCCGCAAUCAUUUACUGAGUGCCUGUAAAGUCUGACAGCUGUUUGUCCAGGAAUUUAACACCGAGGAGCCUAGCAUAGGAGUCCAAUGCUUUGGAUGCAUAGAGGACGGCGGUGUUUAUAUAACACACACCUGGAGAGUGGAUUCCCUGCCAAGGAAACACCAGGAGCUGUGAGAUCCGCGAGCCAGUUCCACAUUCAUGGGCACAGGAAUCUGCCUAGGCUUAUGGAGUUGAUUUAAAAAAUAACACAGGAGAUCAUACAUGGCACAUCAUAUGAUCUCACUAUGUGUCCACAUCUGAGUGUGCACGGGAGGGCUUGGGGUGUGGAGGGGUGUGUGUGUGGAAGGGGGUAACCUUCAUGUGCCCAGAGAAGACCUUGAAAUCAUGUUCAUCAAAAGACCAGCGUCCAUCUCUCUGGUCACGGGCCUCCAUCGAUCUCUUUUUCCUCUAAUUUUCUGUAUAUUUCUUUUUACUUCUUUGAUAUCCCUUCUUUAUGAUAUCCCUAAUGCCUUGCUUCCUAAUGACAUCCCUAUGCCAUGUUUUAAAAUAAAAAUGCUAUUUUCAAAACAAU